AGUGGCAGACGGGUGAGUAACGCGUGGGAAUCUACCCAGUUCUCUGGAAUAACUGAUGGAAACGUCAGCUAAUACCGGAUACGCCCUUUUGGGGAAAGAUUUAUCGGGAUUGGAUGAGCCCGCGUAAGAUUAGCUAGUUGGUGGGGUAACGGCCUACCAAGGCGACGAUCUUUAGCUGGUCUGAGAGGAUGAUCAGCCACACUGGGACUGAGACACGGCCCAGACUCCUACGGGAGGCAGCAGUGGGGAAUAUUGGACAAUGGGGGCAACCCUGAUCCAGCCAUGCCGCGUGAGUGAUGAAGGCCUUAGGGUUGUAAAGCUCUUUCACCGGUGAAGAUAAUGACGGUAACCGGAGAAGAAGCCCCGGCUAACUUCGUGCCAGCAGCCGCGGUAAUACGAAGGGGGCUAGCGUUGUUCGGAAUUACUGGGCGUAAAGCGCACGUAGGCGGAUAUUUAAGUCAGGGGUGAAAUCCCGGAGCUCAACUCCGGAACUGCCUUUGAUACUGGAUAUCUAGAGACCGAGAGAGGUAAGUGGAACUCCUAGUGUAGAGGUGGAAUUCGUAGAUAUUAGGAAGAACACCAGUGGCGAAGGCGGCUUACUGGCUCGGAACUGACGCUGAGGUGCGAAAGCGUGAGGAGCAAACAGGAUUAGAUACCCUGGUAGUCCACGCCGUACACUAUGAGAGCUAGCCGUUGGGGUGUUUACACUUCAGUGGCGCAUCUAACGCAUUAAGCUCUCCGCCUGGGGAGUAC
rnacentral:rRNA from 1 species